rnacentral:rRNA from 1 species
CCGUACACAAAAGCGCAUGUGCUGUGAGCUCGAUGAGUAGGGCGGGACACGUGGUAUCCUGUCUGAAUAUGGGGGGACCAUCCUCCAAGGCUAAAUACUCCUGACUGACCGAUAGUGAACCAGUACCGUGAGGGAAAGGCGAAAAGAACCCCGGCGAGGGGAGUGAAAAAGAACCUGAAACCGUGUACGUACAAGCAGUGGGAGCACAGGUUUACCUGUGUGACUGCGUACCUUUUGUAUAAUGGGUCAGCGACUUAUAUUCUGUAGCAAGGUUAACCGAAUAGGGGAGCCGGAGGGAAACCGAGUCUUAAUUGGGCGUUAAGUUGCAGGGUAUAGACCCGAAACCCGGUGAUCUAGCCAUGGGCAGGUUGAAGGUUGGGUAACACUAACUGGAGGACCGAACCGACUAAUGUUGAAAAAUUAGCGGAUGACCUGUGGCUGGGGGUGAAAGGCCAAUCAAACCGGGAGAUAGCUGGUUCUCCCCGAAAGCUAUUUAGGUAGCGCCUCGUGAAUUCAUCUCCGGGGGUAGAGCACUGUUUCGGCUAGGGGGCCAUCCCGGCUUACCAACCCGAUGCAAACUGCGAAUACCGGAGAAUGUUAUCACGGGAGACACACGGCGGGUGCUAACGUCCGUCGUGAAGAGGGAAACAACCCAGACCGCCAGCUAAGGUCCCAAAGUCAUGGUUAAGUGGGAAACGAUGUGGGAAGGCCCAGACAGCCAGGAUGUUGGCUUAGAAGCAGCCAUCAUUUAAAGAAAGCGUAAUAGCUCACUGGUCGAGUCGGCCUGCGCGGAAGAUGUAACGGGGCUAAACCAUGCACCGAAGCUGCGGCAGCGAACGUAUCACCCAAGACAACUUUACGGAGUUGACGAUUGACGGAGCGAAGCGACGUCAAAGCGUUCAUUAAAGUCGAGUUGGCUUAGGGAUACGUUCGUUGGGUAGGGGAGCGUUCUGUAAGCCUGUGAAGGUGUGUCGUGAGGCAUGCUGGAGGUAUCAGAAGUGCGAAUGCUGACAUAAGUAACGAUAAAGCGGGUGAAAAGCCCGCUCGCCGGAAGACCAAGGGUUCCUGUCCAACGUUAAUCGGGGCAGGGUGAGUCGACCCCUAAGGCGAGGCCGAAAGGCGUAGUCGAUGGGAAACGGGUUAAUAUUCCCGUACUUGGUGUUACUGCGAAGGGGGGACGGAGAAGGCUAUGUUGGCCGGGCGACGGUUGUCCCGGUUUAAGCGUGUAGGUGUGUGUUCCAGGUAAAUCCGGUUCACUUUAACACUGAGGCGUGACGACGAGGCACUACGGUGCUGAAGCAACAAAUGCCCUGCUUCCAGGAAAAGCCUCUAAGCAUCAGGUAACACGAAAUCGUACCCCAAACCGACACAGGUGGUCAGGUAGAGAAUACCAAGGCGCUUGAGAGAACUCGGGUGAAGGAACUAGGCAAAAUGGUGCCGUAACUUCGGGAGAAGGCACGCUGACACGUAGGUGAAGUGAUUUACUCAUGGAGCUGAAGUCAGUCGAAGAUACCAGCUGGCUGCAACUGUUUAUUAAAAACACAGCACUGUGCAAACACGAAAGUGGACGUAUACGGUGUGACGCCUGCCCGGUGCCGGAAGGUUAAUUGAUGGGGUCAGCGUAAGCGAAGCUCCUGAUCGAAGCCCCGGUAAACGGCGGCCGUAACUAUAACGGUCCUAAGGUAGCGAAAUUCCUUGUCGGGUAAGUUCCGACCUGCACGAAUGGCGUAAUGAUGGCCAGGCUGUCUCCACCCGAGACUCAGUGAAAUUGAACUCGCUGUGAAGAUGCAGUGUACCCGCGGCAAGACGGAAAGACCCCGUGAACCUUUACUAUAGCUUGACACUGAACAUUGAGCCUUGAUGUGUAGGAUAGGUGGGAGGCUUUGAAGUGUGGACGCCAGUCUGCAUGGAGCCGACCUUGAAAUACCACCCUUUAAUGUUUGAUGUUCUAACGUGGACCCGUAAUCCGGGUUGCGGACAGUGUCUGGUGGGUAGUUUGACUGGGGCGGUCUCCUCCUAAAGAGUAACGGAGGAGCACGAAGGUUGGCUAAUCCUGGUCGGACAUCAGGAGGUUAGUGCAAUGGCAUAAGCCAGCUUGACUGCGAGCGUGACGGCGCGAGCAGGUGCGAAAGCAGGUCAUAGUGAUCCGGUGGUUCUGAAUGGAAGGGCCAUCGCUCAACGGAUAAAAGGUACUCCGGGGAUAACAGGCUGAUACCGCCCAAGAGUUCAUAUCGACGGCGGUGUUUGGCACCUCGAUGUCGGCUCAUCACAUCCUGGGGCUGAAGUAGGUCCCAAGGGUAUGGCUGUUCGCCAUUUAAAGUGGUACGCGAGCUGGGUUUAGAACGUCGUGAGACAGUUCGGUCCCUAUCUGCCGUGGGCGCUGGAGAACUGAGGGGGGCUGCUCCUAGUACGAGAGGACCGGAGUGGACGCAUCACUGGUGUUCGGGUUGUCAUGCCAAUGGCACUGCCCGGUAGCUAAAUGCGGAAGAGAUAAGUGCUGAAAGCAUCUAAGCACGAAACUUGCCCCGAGAUGAGUUCUCCCUGAGACUUAGAGUCUCCUGAAGGAACGUUGAAGACGACGACGUUGAUAGGCCGGGUGUGUAAGCGCAGCGAUGCGUUGAGCUAACCGGUACUAAUGAACCGUGAGGCUUAACCUUACA